rnacentral:rRNA from 1 species
GACGAACGCUGGCGGCGUGCUUAACACAUGCAAGUCGAACGGAAAGGCCCUGCUUUUGUGGUGUGCUCGAGUGGCGAACGGGUGAGUAACACGUGAGUAACCUGCCCUUGACUUUGGGAUAACUUCAGGAAACUGGGGCUAAUACCGGAUAGGCGCUCCUGCUGCAUGGUGGGGGUUGGAAAGUUUCGGCGGUUGGGGAUGGACUCGCGGCUUAUCAGCUUGUUGGUGGGGUAGUGGCUUACCAAGGCUUUGACGGGUAGCCGGCCUGAGAGGGUGACCGGCCACAUUGGGACUGAGAUACGGCCCAGACUCCUACGGGAGGGAGCAGUGGGGAAUAGUGCACAAUGGGCGGAAGCCUGAUGCAGCAACGCCGCGUGCGGGAUGACGGCCUUCGGGGUGUAAACCGCUUGCGCCUGUGACGAAGCGUGAGUGACGGUAAUGGGUAAAGAAGCACCGGCUAACUACGUG